GAUGAACGCUGGCGGCGUGCCUAAUACAUGCAAAUCGAGCGAACGGACGAGAAGCUUGCUUUUCUGAUGUUAGCGGCGGACGGGUGAGUAACACGUGGAUAACCUACCUAUAAGACUGGGAUAACUUCGGGAAACCGGAGCUAAUACCGGAUAAUAUUUUGAACCGCAUGGUUCAAAAGUGAAAGACGGUCUUGCUGUCACUUAUAGAUGGAUCCGCGCUGCAUUAGCUAGUUGGUAAGGUAACGGCUUACCAAGGCAACGAUGCAUAGCCGACCUGAGAGGGUGAUCGGCCACACUGGAACUGAGACACGGUCCAGACUCCUACGGGAGGCAGCAGUAGGGAAUCUUCCGCAAUGGGCGAAAGCCUGACGGAGCAACGCCGCGUGAGUGAUGAAGGGCUUCGGAUCGUAAAACUCUGUUAUUAGGGAAGAACAUAUGUGUAAGUAACUGUGCACAUCUUGACGGUACCUAAUCAGGAAGCCACGGCUAACUACGUGC
rnacentral:rRNA from 1 species